CCUACGGGAGGCAGCAGUGGGGAAUAUUGGACAAUGGGCGAAAGCCUGAUCCAGCCAUGCCGCGUGUGUGAAGAAGGUCUUCGGAUUGUAAAGCACUUUAAGUUGGGAGGAAGGGCAGUAAGUUAAUACCUUGCUGUUUUGUCGUUACCGACAGAAUAAGCACCGGCUAACUCUGUGCCAGCAGCCGCGGUAAUACAGAGGGUGCAAGCGUUAAUCGGAAUUACUGGGCGUAAAGCGCGCGUAGGUGGUUCGUUAAGUUGGAUGUGAAAGCCCCGGGCUCAACCUGGGAAUUGCAUCCAAAACUGGCGAGCUAGAGUAUGGUAGAGGGUGGCGGAAUUUCCUGUGUAGCGGUGAAAUGCGUAGAUAUAGGAAGGAACACCAGUGGCGAAGGCGACCACCUGGACUGAUACUGACACUGAGGUGCGAAAGCGUGGGGAGCAAACAGGAUUAGAUACCCGUGUAGUC
rnacentral:rRNA from 1 species